rnacentral:tRNA from 1 species
GGGCCAUUAGCUCAGUCGGUAGAGCACUUGACUUUUAAUCAAGCUGUCGAAGGUUCGAUUCCUUCAUGGCUCACCA